GGUCCCCAGCCCCGAGCCCCUCUCGGGGCCGCGCUCCCCGUAGGGCCGUUGCUUAUGGGGCUGCCCCGCUUACGCAGCUCUCCCCCCAGGGCUUCCCCCGCGGGGCCGGCAGUGGGGCCGGUACCGAUGUGCACAGAAGGGCCGUUUGCUGACGGCGUUUCCCAUCUCCGCCAGUUUCUGCCUUCGCGCCGCCCGGCCCGGAGCUCUGCAAUGCAGCUCACAGCGCUCAGCGCUGCGCGAAUCCCAUCAAUAUUUCAUGGAGCUGCUUCCUCCAGGGGAAGGGCUGCGCUGCUCUGCUUCUGCUGCUCCCCGCAGCGCUCCUGCCCUCGCGGAGAACAUCCCAUUUCCUUCCCCUGGCAGCCAGCCCCCAGCAGCCCCCCCUUCCCCUUCCUUUUCCAAAUGAGCCACCAGCGCUGCGCCUUUCGGGGCUGCACCCUAUGUGAGCUGUGAAGACCCCUCAGGUGGGAAUCAAAGCACCCACUGAUUUCUGCCCUGGGAUGCUCGAGUGUGACGUGCUGGGGUCACAGGGGCAGCUCCGGGAUGGGCACUCGGACCCUCCAGCUCCGUGAGCAGCAGCAGAGCACUGAGCACAGCCCCAUACGGCAGCAUGGGGUCCCUCCUGGCUGCACCCGCGCUGCCCACAGCCCAGCAGCUUCUGAAGGGAUCAGCAGAAAACUUGCUUGCUUUGGGAAGACUUCUGUGAGCCGGAGCGAUGCCAGGAGAGCGCGGGAGCACAGAGCUGCCCACAGCAGCACCCAGCACUGCCUCAGCCCCCACCCACCCCGACAUGAGAGCCUCGUUGGGGACAGUGCCACGCACCAGGGUGACAGCCCCACAUCCCCUCCUUGCUCCAUCACCCCACAGCCAACACAUGGCAAACAGCAAGCGGCACCCCCAGCUCCAGGGGUCGCCAUGCAGAAGGACCACCAGCAGCACCUGGCUGUGUGUGCACAGAGGGCACAGCAGGACUGACAGACAUGGCACAGCGGGACCGAUGGACACAACACAGUGCAACUGAUGGACAUGGCACAGCAGGACCGAUGGACGGAGCAGAGCAGGACUGAUGGACGCAGCAUCAGCGAGAGGUGAGGUGA